GACGAACGCUGGCGGCGUGCCUAAUACAUGCAAGUCGAGCGCAGGAAACUGACGGAACUCUUCGGAGGGAAGGCAGCGGAAUGAGCGGCGGACGGGUGAGUAACACAUAAGGAACCUGCCUCAAGGAUUGGGAUAACUCCGAGAAAUCGGAGCCAAUACCGGAUAGUUCAACGGACCGCAUGGUCCGCUGAUGAAAGGCGCUUCGGCGUCACCUUGAUAUGGCCUUGCGGUGCAUUAGCUAGUUGGUGGGGUAACGGCCCACCAAGGCGACGAUGCAUAGCCGACCUGAGAGGGUGAUCGGCCACACUGGGACUGAGACACGGCCCAGACUCCUACGGGAGGCAGCAGUAGGGAAUCUUCCACAAUGGACGAAAGUCUGAUGGAGCAACGCCGCGUGAGUGAUGAAGGUUUUCGGAUCGUAAAACUCUGUUGUAAGGGAAGAACACGUACGAGAGGGAAUGCUCGUACCUUGACGGUACCUUACGAGAAAGCCACGGCUAACUACGUGCCAGCCGCCGCGGUAAGAC
rnacentral:rRNA from 1 species